rnacentral:rRNA from 1 species
AGAACGAACGCUGGCGGCAUGCCUAACACAUGCAAGUCGAACGCUCCUGGGGCUUCGGUCUCAGGGGAGUGGCGCACGGGUGAGUAGCGCGUGGGAACCUGCCCUGUUGUGGGGGAUAACCGAGGGAAACUUCGGCUAAUACCGCAUAAGCCGGUUGUCUUGAAAGAGAUGGCCGGGAAAGAUUUAUCGCGACAGGAGGGGCCCGCGUCGGAUUAGCUAGUUGGUGGGGUAACGGCCCACCAAGGCAGUGAUCCGUAGCUGGUCUGAGAGGAUGAUCAGCCACACUGGGACUGAGACACGGCCCAGACUCCUACGGGAGGCAGCAGUGGGGAAUAUUGGACAAUGGGCGCAAGCCUGAUCCAGCAAUGCCGCGUGAGUGAUGAAGGCCUUAGGGUUGUAAAGCUCUUUCGCCCGCGACGAUGAUGACGGUAGCGGGAGAAGAAGCCCGGCUAACUUCGUGCCAGCAGCCGCGGU